UUAAGAUGCUUCUGGGGGCUGUACCAUGGCAGUACCCACGUCCUCCCAGGAAAAGGAUUUUGGACAGACGACCUCCCGGUGCCCUCCCGAGGGCAUGGACCAAGGAUGAUGCCAUGUCUGGGAAGAAGCCAGGGCAGGCAGAGACAGGAAAAACUUGGAGUCCUGGUCAGCUUUGACCCACUGGGAAGGGGAGGAUCCAGCAUGUCUUGGAGCCAAUGCAAAAGAUUCCAGGCAAGAACUGUGCAGCUUGGUGCAGCAUCCGAAAUCUGCUUUCUAUGCCACUGAAGAUGAUUCUACGGCUGUACUAUGGCAGUUCCCACGCCUCUCUGGGAACACGGACUGUGACCCGCGGCCCCCAGCUCCCUCCUGGACCUGGUCUGCAGGACAUCAAGCAUGAAGGAGUGGAUGUGGGGGCUGUAUGAUGUAGGGCAGAAAAUCAGCACCAGAAAGCUACUCCCUCUGUUCUGCCCCUUCCCUCUCCAGCCCUCACCACCCUCCCUGCCUCUCCUUUCCCCCUAUAUAUGAUGUUAGGUUAGGCUAGGUUAAGUUAUAUUAUAUUGUUUUAUUUCCUAUUAUAUUGUAUUGUGGUGAA